AAUUAAUAUUAAUCAAUAUAACAAAAAAUAUUUUAACCAUAUGGUCCUUUCGUACUAAUAUGGAUUAACAAUCUUAGGAUAGAAACCGACCUGGCUCACGCCGGUCUGAACUCAGAUCAUGUAAGAAUUUAAAGGUCGAGCAGACCUAAUCAUUGGGCUCCUGCACCCAAAAUUUUUCUUAAUCCAACAUCGAGGUCGCAAUCUGCUUUGUCGAUGUGAGAUCUCAAAAACAAUUACGCUGUUAUCCCUAAGGUAACUUAAUCUUAUGAUCAUAAAUUAUGGAUCAAAAUAACAAACAUAAAUAAAUGAUAUAAUAAUGAAGAGUUUAUCUAUUCUUCAUGUCACCCCAACAAAACAUCAUCAUUAAAUAUAGAAAGACAAACAAAAAACUAUAUAAAAGUAAAAUGUCAAGCUCUAUAGGGUCUUCUCGUCCUAAAGAAGAAUUUAAGCCUUUUGACUCAAAAGUUAAAUUCAAAAAUUUAUUAAGAGACAGUUGAUUUCUCGUCAAGCCAUUCAUUCCAGCCACUAAUUAAGAGACUAAUGAUUAUGCUACCUUUGCACGGUCAAAAUACCGCGGCUCUUUAAAAAUACGCUCAGUGAGCAGGCCAGACCUCAAAAUAUAAACAAGAGGACAUGUUUUUGAUAAACAGGCGGAAUUCAAUUUUGCCUAGUUCCUUAUAAUAAGUUCACAAGGUAAAAAUUUCAUACAAAUAAAUAUACUAAUUCUAUCAUUAUUACAAAAAUUUUAAAAUUAAAUUAAUAAUCUUAAUAAAAAACCUAAAAUAUUUAUAAAAUCAAAAUAAAAAAUAAUGAACUAAAACGUAAUCUUAAAGAUAGCUGGUUUAAAGCUUACUAUUAUAUUUCUAUAAAAUAAAUUAUAGGUUAUUA